rnacentral:rRNA from 1 species
AUUGAACGCUGGCGGCAGGCUUAACACAUGCAAGUCGAGCGAGCGGCGGCCGGGUGAGUAAUGUCUGGGAAACUGCCUGAUGGAGGGGGAUAACUACUGGAAACGGUAGCUAAUACCGCAUACCAUCAGAUGUGCCCAGAUGGGAUUAGCUAGUAGGUGGGGUAAUGGCUCACCUAGGCGACGAUCCCUUGCUGGUCUGAGAGGAGGACAAGCCAAACUGGAACAGUGACACGGUCCAGAGUCAGACGGGAGGCAGCAGUGGGGAAUAUUGCACAAUGGGCGCAAGCCUGAUACAGCCAUGCCGCGUGUGUGAAGAAGGCCUUCGGGUUGUAAAGCACUUUCAGCGAGGAGGCGUUACUCGCAGAAGAAGCACCGGGUAACUCCGUGCCAGCAGCCGCGGAAAUUC